GUUAUGGGCAGAUACCUUGAUUUUUAAAACAUUGGUUCAUUUUUGUUAAGAACAGUGCCCAGGGCAAGCGCAGCCCUUGGGCUACUACCCUGUGACGGAGUGAGUGGGGCCUGGGGCACUCCGCGGCUCUGGAGCAGGCUUGACACGUCGGCGGGCAGCACUGCGGGCCAGGGGACGAGGUGGCAGCCUGGUCUGGUAAGCAUUUUCCUUGUCCACUCUGAAGCACACGCACAUUCUGAUUGGAGCUUCGUGACACGAACAACCGUGGAAAGGCACACAAUGACUACCUUUCUUAACAAAUGAUUUGAAUCUGUGGAGGAAAAAACAAGCCCCUUCCCUUUCCUGAGUAUUCCGUUUUGCAUUUGUAACUAGAGCUGAGGAUAAGUAGCAUUUUCCUCCGUGACCCCGUGUUUUAUUCUUUGCUGGUUCGCCACAUCUACAUAACUUCCCAAAGUAUUGUUGUUUGAUUAUUUUUUUUUCCCACAAAUAUGGACUGCCUCGAUUUAGGAAAACACUACUGAGAAUUCCUGAUGGCUCACAUACCCCAUUACCUGUCUGGCCGAGAUAUGACGGUGUCAUCAGAAGGUCUGCAGUUUAAAAGCCUAGAUAUUCCCUUGGAAAGGAGCUCUUUUGGAUCGACCCAUCAUCAUCUUCAGAAGGCAAAGAAAAUGCAGAAUGGUUCGAAAAGAAGUGGGUGGGUGGGAGGGCUCUCCUUCAGGAACCCCCCAAAAUUUCAAGAAUCUAUCAAGGUAAGACUAAAAUCAUAGCAAAUAAUAGCAUGAAUUUCACUCAAUUGAUUUUUUCCCACCUAAGAACAACAGG
rnacentral:lncRNA from 12 species